GGGGAUAGAGCAUUGCAAUUAUUGCUCUUCAACGAGGAAUCCCUAGUAAGCGCAAGUCAUCAGCUUGCGUUGAUUACGUCCCUGCCCUUUGUACACACCGCCCGUCGCUACUACCGAUUGAAUGGCUCAGUGAGGCUUCCGGACUGGCCCAGAGA
rnacentral:rRNA from 1 species